GUGCAGGAGGAAAAGCAUGACCCCCCCACCCCCAUAUCCCCCACCAGUCCUGCAUUUAUAAUUCCAUGUUGAGUGGCAGGAUGGAAAAAAAAUUAGGGAAGUAGAGAGGGAGAAAAGUAGUAUCAUCCAUACAUUUGCUCUCACAGCUGUGAUUAGUUAAAGUCAGAGGCCCACCUCUAUGCCAUAUCAACCCCAGAGCCAGAUCGAGCUAGAGAGACAGAGAGGAAUAGAAAGGAACAGAAAGGAGGGGGUUGAGAAAGUCUUCCGCUUUGCUCUUAUCCAUCUUUUUUUCUUCUUCUUCUUUUAUUUCGACCACUCUCUUUCAUUUCAACCUAUAUCUUGGGAGCUACUCAGCCUGCCCAUCUCUGUUCUACAUCUCAUAGAUACCCACUCAGGCAGGUUUAAAUGAGAAUAAAAGAAAACGAGAGAGAGAGACAGACAGAGAGAGACAGACAGAGAGAGAGAGCGAGAGAGAGAGAGAGAGAGAGAGAGAGAGAGAGAGAGAGAGAGAGAGAGAGAGAGAGCUGGUCCUAUAAACAUAGCUACAUGAUGUGCUUGGCUUAUAGAGGCUACAUUUAAUCUCCACUGGUUCCCCCAGGCUUGGGUUGAGAGAGGGGGGAGAGAGCUGCCAGGGAUGAUGGGGAGGAGGGACGAAGGGAAGGGGGAAUGCCGACGUACUUCAGUGCACAGGCGCAAAUCAUUGACACUGUAUGGAGGUGGGGUGGGGGGAGAAAUUCCUACAAAACACUUCCUUCUUCCUUUUUGUCUUUUUUUUGGGGCAUGAUCUUUCAUCUUCAUCAUUCUGUCUUGGCUUCAAUUUCAGAUUCUCUCUGCGACUACAAUGACAUGCGUUUUUGUCAUCUGUUUUAGAGAACAGCGUGCACAUCCCUGCUUGCUCUUCACCUUUACGACGUGGACGGUUUCCCUUUUAAAAAUUCCUCCCUUCGAUGCAAGCUCAGCCCCCCUUUCUGGCCACUGCUAUCCUCAUUUAUCGCCCUCUCCUUGUCCAGAUACAGCCAGCCAUCAGGCAGACGCUAAUAUUAGACCGUCUUUGACAGUGCCGGCGGCCGGCGGCCAUCGCGCGCGCUUCGCGUGAACAUGCACAGCACACACAUGUGCAUGCACGCUGCAGCAUGAAAACAAAACAAUACAAAACAAAACAAAAAAUCCAGCAAGGACGCUGCAUCACAUCUAAACUCACACUGAAACUAAAGUCGUUGAAGAACCAUACAUGGGCUUGAUUUAGCCCAUCACACAUCAGCAUGUGUGUGUCUGGGAGUGUGUGGACAUCAGCCUGGAGUUCUGGUCUUGUUCAUGGAGAGAAUAUGAGAGAGAAGGAAAAUCCUUAAAUCCAUCCUUUAAA
ensembl:lncRNA